UACGUAGGGUGCAAGCGUUGUCCGGAAUUAUUGGGCGUAAAGAGCUCGUAGGCGGUUUGUCGCGUCUGCUGUGAAAACUCAGGGCUUAACCCUGAGCCUGCAGUGGGUACGGGCAGACUAGAGUGUGGUAGGGGAGAUCGGAAUUCCUGGUGUAGCGGUGGAAUGCGCAGAUAUCGGGAGGAACACCUGUGGCGAAAGCGGCUCACUGGACCACAACUGACGCUGAGGCGCGAAAGCUAGGGGAGCAAACGGG
rnacentral:rRNA from 1 species